GAGACAAGGGCAAUUACACGCCUGCUCAUCCCGACGCCUGUCUUCUGUUAAAAUAGCAAAUUACCGUGAGAUAGUCAUCAUCACAUUUCAUAUAGGAGGUGUUUUAUGAUGUUUGGUCAAGGUAAAGAGACGGCUUGUUAUUUAAGUUAAUGUUCUGGGAAUAUACCUUGAGGCUGGAUGUGUCAAUCAUACAGAUGAAAAAUGGAUGAUUAGUUUUUUUCCUCCUCCUCUGUGCUCGUUUUUGUUUUUUCUUUUCUUUUACAGCUGCUGAAGUCCAUCUGUUUCCCGACACUUAAACAAAAAACACCUCAAUGCCUAAUUAAGCAAACAACGUCGGCAAAGUGGCCUUUUGAGAUCUCACGUCCCCUGUGGUAAGCAGCUCUUUCUGUGUGUUUCCUCUCCGUCACGGCGGUUAGAUAAUAUCUCGCAGGCUCGUUGACUAUUUCUGCGCCGCGACUUCACGUCGAAGGUUCAGCUCGCUUUAAUAGCCGCUUGUCAGCCUGUCAGUCGACGGGAUGGUGCUCGUUACUGUUGUUUUCUUCUGAAUGGGCCUGACAUUUUGGAGAAAACUUUUCUUCGGGGCUGUGUGAAAAUGACUGCCUGUGACUGCUGACCAUCAAACAAACAACACGCUCCUGCAGAGGAGACUAUCUGCAGGUUGAAAACAAGAUAAGAACGACAGACAGAGUGAAGCCGAAUGUUUUGCAAAAUAUCCACAAAAACGUUUGGUGAUAUUGUAUGAGUCAUUAUCUCAGUCAGGAAAACUCACUCUGAUGGUGUUAUGGGUGCAGACUGAACCAUUUGAACAUGAUUUCUGCUUUGUAAGGCGAACCAUAGUGUUUUUUCAGCCACAUCUGAGAUACGUCCUCAUUCUGUCCCUCGGCUUUUCAGACGCAAACACACAUCUGUCUCCUACUGCUCCUCUCCCUGCUCUCCUCUCCCCAGCUGUGGCUGCCAUAGACUGUAUAUAGAAUGGACGCCGUCUGCCUCCUCGCUGGGUGAAGCCACCGUGAGAACAGGCCAGAAGAGUUGUCCAAGAGCCAAGGACCACUUGUGAAGAGCUUCAGAAAGACCUGGAAUUAACAGGUACAACUGUUUCAAAGAAAACUAUAAGUAAUGCAGUCAAUGCCAUGGCCUGUGUGCACGCUCACCACUCAAGACUCCAUUGCUGAAGUAAAAGCAUGUUGAAGCCCGUUUAAAGUUUGCUGCACAACAUUUAGACAAGAUCCAAUACUACUACUGUUGAAUGAAUGAACUGUAUAGCUUGCCCUGUGAGUGAAGACAUCAGGCUUGACAUUAGCCUUGUUAAAAAAAAAGGUAACAAAUUAACACAGAUAUAUUACUUAUUAAAAAAUUACACAUUAGCACACAGCAAAAAGAAGUAAGACGUCCAUGUAAACAUUUAGUGCAAAAGGAUAGACAGACUAAGGCUACAUUCACACUGCAGGUUAUGAUGCACAAUUCGGAUUUUUUGUUAAAUCCGAUCUUUUUGUGCGGUCGUUCAUAUUACAACAACAAAUUGGCAUCUAAUGUGAACGGAAUGCGUCCAUGAAGUGACCUGCAUGCACACAAAUCACAAAUUGCUCUCCGUGCCUGUUUGUGUUGUCAAACAAUGGUGACGUUUGCCGCAUAUUGAUGACGUAUAGGUCGGAUGAACAUGCCUGAGCGUCCACACUGCAGUCACAUCGGAUACAUAUCUGUUUCAUAUCCACAUACAAAAGAGGCCUGGGUCGGAUUAGAACAAAUCCGAAUUGCACUGUUCACACUUAGAUGAAAAAAUCAGAUAUGUGUUACCUAUGGUUAAAAAAAACGGAGUUGACCUGCAGUGUGAACAUAGCCACAGACUAUAGAGUGAACAGAAUCGCUGUGUUGCUGUGUAUGAUAUCAAUUAAAAGAAAAAAAAAAAUUGUCAAUAUCGGAGCCAAUAUCUGAUCCAAAUAUCUGAUCAGUGCAUCCCUAAUAUAUAUGUUAAUCACGACAUGUAACUCUGAUUUCGAUGUGCAUCAGGUGAAAGUUUUGAUUGCCCACUUUUGUUUGGACUGUUGCAGUUCAGGGAGCCGGUUUAGCUCUGGGUCAGCUCAUAACACUCGGUAGGAUUGCAGCUCGUUGCCUCAUACAGACUCCAUAUCUCGGUUUGUGACAAAUUUUUAUUUAUAGCCGGAGCGUACAAAUGAUGUGCAGCUCUGCAGAGAAUAACAAGAGCAUGGCCCACAUUAUCCCUGUCACCUCCAAGUGCACUGCAAGCAUUUCCUCAGCUCAGUGUUUCUGCUUAUCACUCCAUGGCGAGGAGCUGCUGCCACACAGCAGCCGCCUAAUGAUGUUGCCCUGGUGGUUAUCAUUUACUGAGGAGACCUGUCCCCUCUAGGGGAGGGAAGGGGGGGUCAGGGUGACUUACAGUGCCUGAGACGGAGCUGUUUGAGAGGAGAUGCAGCUGCUGGUGCUUUUCUACAGGCUGUUUUUACUGUCCGAGAAGAUCAUCAGAUAAACUCAGGGUUCAUGCACUGCAAAUUAUUAUUUCAGAUUAUUAAUUUCUCUUGUUUUAAGACUUAAUUUCUUAUUUUAAGUGUUUAACUUUACACUUGUACACUUAUAUCAAGCACAACCUUAUGUUUUUUGUCUUCAAUAGGCAGGAAAUCUUAAAAUGAGAAAAAUAACUGUUAUAAUAAGUUCAAGUCUCAUCAGAAGGAAUCUUGUUUUAAGAUUAAAUAAGCCUUGUUUCGAGAUCAGCCUGCUUGGAUUGAGACAGAGUUUAGUCAUUCUUCACUAAUACCGGGUGUUUUUUCUCUAAAUUUCUAUUUUUUGUUUAACUUAUCUACAGCUUAAUUUGCUAAAGGUAAGACAAUAAAAUAUGUAAUUGCUUUUAUUUAGUAAAUUUCACUUAUUUUAAUGCUUUCAAAGUUAAAUUUCAAGCACUCUGAUCUUAAAACCAGCAUUUUAUACUUAUUUUAUGAUUAUAUUUGGUACAUUUCACUUAUUUCAGGGCUGUAAAAGUUAAAAUUCAAGUAAUCUGAUCUUAAAACCAGCAUUUUAUACUUAUUUUAUGCUUAUAUUUAAGUACAUUUUACUUAUUUUAGGGCUGUAAAAGGUUAAAUUCUAAGUAAUCUGAUCUUCAAAUCAGCAUUUUUGGCUUAGUAUAAGCCUUCUAAAUACAUUUGUAGACAUGCUUAUUUCUAGAUUUAACGAUCUUAAUUCAAGAAAUCUUGUCAAGUGAAAUUAUCUCGCUGCAUGGACGGAUAAUUUCACUUGUUUUUAGUACCUUUUUCCUCAGAUUUAGUGUUUUUAUCUUGUUUUUAAAACCCCCCGUUUUUUGCAGUGUGAUGGUUGAAGACAAGAUGCAUGAGAUUUAGCCGUGUGAAAAUAUACUUGUGUAUACAUGCAUUAAUCUGAUCUUAAGUCCCCUCUUACGGAUGUUCACCUGUUUUCUACGCCCAGACCGUAGCUGGCUUUUCAUAACAACACUCGCGCACACGAUACUUUUACACACUCUGGAUGUGAGCACCUUUAAAAGCCUAAGCUGUAGAGCUGGGAAAGCUUGUGGAUAAAGUCUCCCAAUCCCUUUGACCCUUGAAAUCCUGGAUUUAUCUCCAGGAAUACUACUGGGUCAUGAAAAACUAAGGGCUGGUUUUUGUGGAGAGAGUGGGAUUCAUAUGGGCGAGGCACGUUUGUGCUGUUAUCCUUUAGGGGGAGAUGUCCAGAGCAUUUACAGUGGGUGGGGUCGUGAUAUAGAGCAGACUAUGACUGUACAAUGUUACACUUCCUCUAAGCCUGUGUUGGUUGAACUUGGAGUAAUCUCUUAUUUUUCAUUGAGGAAGCUAAUGUUGGACAGUUUCAGGAUUACAUAUUGCAAAGAAUUGGGGGUUUUAUUGAAAACCAAGUACAAAAUGACAAAGUACAAGAGGAACAAGGCUGAAUUCAGUUGUACGGCUGUGAUCUGUGUGUGGCAUUUAGACAUGACUCUAAAGUGGAAAUCAACGUAUAGAAUGAAAAUCACCUCCAAAAUAAUGGUUUCUGCAAGAAGUCAUAUUUUGGGCGUUUUUGGCUUUUAUUAGACAGGACGGAUGAAGAGAGACAAAAAACUUGGGGAGCAAGAGACUGUGGCCGCAAAUCAAACCCACGAUCGCUUCGAUGACGAGUUUAGCCUGAAUACAUUGGCCAUCAGCGUAAUGAUAAACGUAAUCCAGAUUCACCAGCAAACUCUCUGAACCCCAGACCACUGAAGAUGGACUGAGGUUCAAGUAAAAAACUUUUCUGUGACACUCUUUUUGGAAAUCAUGGACACUACAUCUGUUAAUUUCAGACGGGAGGAGCCCCUGGUAUGGUGUCAACACACGCUUUUCUAUGAUACGACAAGCUUACAUGUGCUUCCAUUCAGACAAGGAAAGACUUUGAGUGUAUAUUUUCCUUAAAGAAUAAAUAAACAAACAUCCGUUUUAACAUUUAACAUGCUGUAUUUGCUUUUUUUCAGUUAAGUAAAGGAUUGAAAUGAUUUGAUGCUGUUUUUAUAUCAACAUUUUCACAGCGUCUCAGCCCCUAUGGAGCUGAGGUUGUGUGUUUUCUGUGUAAUUAGAGUCUUUGACCACCACCACUGUCUUUAAAUAUUAAUUUCUUAGACCAUGUCUGAUGUUAUAAUGUAAUCCUUUUCAUCUACCAGCUGCAGCGUUGUUGAUUCAACUUUAGUUUUUUCAUGCUUGAACAUGAUUUGAUCUCACAUGUCGAACCAAAUAUGAACAGUUACAGAGAAGAACAAGAAGCUAUAACGCUGUUUAAGUGUAACGUGAGGUUUAAAUGUAUUAAAUGUAUUAAUCCAUCUUAAAUGAAGCAAUAUUAUUACUUUGGAUAGAAAAUGUUCAGUUGUAGUACCUCUAUCUGUCUGGAUGUGACUCACUUUAUAUAAUCUUUUAGGUCUCUUAUGCUGCGUUCCAGUUACCCCAGAAGUCGGAUGUCUGAGCUGGGAAUGACUUUAUACCCGAGUUGACGGCGUUCCAGUUAACAAGUCAAAAAACUAAGAUGGACGCCUACUGUUACCCGUUAUUAGCUGUUGUUUACAAUUGUCAGCUGUUGUUAGCCGUUGUCAGUUGUUGUUAGUGAUACCAGUUGUUAAUGGCGUGUAACACAGUAUUUUACUCUUACAAACACCAUAGCAUCGUGUUCACAGUUAGACGUUGGGCAGUACAACAUAAACCACUUGUUUAAUUUCACAAAAACAAAACAGAAGUGCUGAUAAAUAAUACAUUACAAGAGCUUUAACUGUUACUCUUUACUGUUGAUGCACUGCGCUGCCGUCUUUGAAUUAUGACGUUGUCGUCGGGUCGCGAUUGGUGAGGAUCGUCCAACUUUCCGAGUCAGAAAUUUAACUUUAGGGGGGGCGUUCCAGAUAAAUUUCCGACUCGGAGCUCAGAAAAUUCCGACUUCUGAGUACAACUGGAACGCAGCAUAACUGUAGAUCUUCCUGGGAGUCCCUGAGCUCCCUCGUCUCGUAGCUUACUCUGGAUUGCUGCUGCAGAUUUUCAUCAAGUAUUCAUGUGUUAAUAUUAAAUGCGCCAUUAUUAAUUCUCUAAAGAUUUCAGAUCCUGAUAGCUUCGUUCCAACCUGUUAUGUUGAUAAAAAUCGAUGUUGCACCCCUUAUGUUUUCAUUAGCCUCUGCACGCAGCCCUGUAUCCCUCCACAGGAGAAAAAUAAUUCAUUUGAAAUGUACCCGACACAUUUGAAUGUUCAUGUGAACAAUGACAAGUGGAGUAGAGAGCACAGUACCUCAGAACAGCAGCGUGGAGUGCUGUUAGUGGUCAUUACCGAGCCCACUUUAGGAUCCAACACCACACAGGAAUAACAAGCCAGCGCCUGCAGAGAGUAAUAACAUCUUACUGCUCCUGUGGCCACUUCUGGCUCGGUCCAGUGCUUAACUCUGCAAUCUAAUAGGAAAUGUUUUCUUUUCUGCUCCCUCUGAUAGCUUUUUAAUUGGUUUCAGUGACAUUGUCACCCCUUUCCCUCUACAGCCCGGAGACCAUGUUGUGUUUACUACAGCAAAGGAGCCCAGUAAUGUAAUCAUGAAAUAAUCAUAAUUAGAAAAACAUAAUUGUGAGCGCUUAUUUGGUUUAAAAUGACCCAGAGGUAAUCUCUCAAAACACAUUCUUGUUGAUAGAUGGUUUAGAAACACAGUUAAAAACAAGCAGUAAUGAGGCUCCAGGCCUUCUACUGAGAGUCACAACAACGUCUCUAACACACUCCUCUGGGCUUUCACUGUGUGCAACCUUCCCGGCUGUAAUAAUGCACAACUUUUUCUGGUUGCUGAGCUGAAUUAUUGUGCCUGCGUUUAACUUUACUGCAAUGUCACGACGAUGUCUUUAAACAUCGCUGCAGAGCAACAUCAGGAAAAGCUGAAUUAACAUAUAAAAGUGCAGAAACAAAACCCACUGAAACUAAUCAGCUGGCUUUUUAUAAGAUGUAUACAACUAUUUCAUAUGAGAAACCGUAGCUGGUUAUGAUGCCUCCUUGAAAAGUGGCAUUUAUUCUCCGCAAUCUGAUUCCCUUCAUUCUCUCCCCUCGAGUCUUACAUACACAGAAGAAGAAAAAGACGGCUCGUUCUUAAACUUUAAUGAACCCAAUAAGACAUUAAAGAGAGCCAAAUGUCAUUUUCCUGUUUGCAACAUCUGCUGCCUCCUAAAAGGGAGCACAUUCUGUCCAAACUUAGCAACAAACAGACCCUUAACUCAUCUACAUCAUGUUCCCUCUUCUGCGGAGGCGGUAAAUUAUUUUAAGCCGGUUCAGCUCCCAAACAUAACUUCGGUCGAGCACUUAAAUCAAAGUUAUUCAAGGCGGUGGUGCCCAAACUUUUUUCUGCGGUAGAUGAGAAUCUUCAACAUCCACAUCAACACAUAAAUCAGAUAAAUCCUCUGCAAGCAAAUUCCUGUAUUUUAAGAAUCAACUGCAGCAUCAUCCAAUAAAUCUGGAGAAUUGUGACAUAGAACUGAAGACAACUUUUACCAAGGAUGCAAUUACAAGUUAUUCACACUUGUAGCCUCCAAAGCUGGUGAGGAUCUAAUCCCCCGGUUUGGACACCAAGGUUUGAGUGAAGACAGUAAGUGAAUCUGCUCUCUUGGAGCUUGUUAUGUUUGAGUUGUAGCACCAGAUCUCAUUCAUUAUUAAUCUUAAUCAUAGUUAGCGUGGCACUACUACCUCCUGUAUGUUCUCUUCAUACACUAAAACAAGGUCUCUGCAGAGAACCAGUGCAUGCUGGGAAGCCGGCUGUGUAAAGUGCUUCACUCUGAUUGGUUUGAAAAGCAAAGGCGAUGCUGGGAACUGAUCACACACAUGGGAAGGAGUUAUUGCACAUCUAGUAUCGACUUUUUUAAAGUUACCUUGAGAUGCAAACUGACGCUUUGCCACUAUGUUUUCAGAAACUAACAGAAACUCACAUUUUUGCCACAGUGUCAACAGGCAGUGGUGUGAACAGAUUAUCCUCGGCCUUAAUUGUUGCUGCUUUGAGUUAAUUAUAAUUAUGUUGAGUGAUAAGACAUUAUGUAAUGACGUCAUUAAGCAGAAAGCAAUCAUGGGAGUUGUAGUCUUUUAAUAUAAAACACAGCCGCAUGGUUAAUUAAAAUGUAAUUGACUCAGGAGGAAAUAGAAUUGACAAAGUCAUUUAAUCAAGCUUCUUUUUUAUUUUUGGUUUAUUUAUAAUUUAUGUCAUUUAAAUCUUCCGAAACAGCAGCAGGUUAAACAAGUUCACAUCCUGACGUGACGUGUGGCGCAUCCUUGAUUCUGCAGACAGGAACAUCAGCCUCACCGACAUUAAUGACAUAAAGCGAAAAUUUACUACUUUUGGGCCUGCAGGCUGUAAUCACAUUAAACUAAUUUAACAUAGUCUAUAAUUACUUAUAUCCUGAUCCUGAAAACUGAAUUCAUAUUUUUUCAUCAUUUCUUGCUCUGCAACCACAACUUUGCAUGAGCUGUUGUUCUUGUUGUUGCUGUUUUAAUGUUGCUGCUGUCCCCUGUCUCUCUCUCUCUCCCUCCCUCUCCCUUCCUCAUUCUCUCUCUCCUUCCUUCUCUCUCGUUCUCUUUCUCUCCCCCUGCCCUCUCUCCACUUCUCUCUCUCUUUCUUCCUCCCUAUCUCUCUGUACUUCUCCCCAGCCCAGCAGCGGCUUGGUGGCUGUCUAACAUGACUUUGGUCCCACCCAAGGUUUCUGCCUGUUAAAAGGAAGUUUUUUCUUGCUACUUUCACUCAUGUUAGAUGAGAUGGGUCAAAUCUUUCGCAUCUUAAGGUUGGGUCUCGAUAAUUCAUCAAACAAUCAGCGUGGUCCAGACCUGUGUUUUUCAACCUCUUUUUGAGCCAUGGUACGUUUUUUUCAUAGAAAAAAAUCACGAGGCGCACCAACAACCAAAAACGUUACUGAAUGACACUUGGUAGCCCAAAAUACAGUUUACACAAUGACGAUAAAGUCUCUCAAUUGAUUCAUACUAACCCAGUGUGAAACCUGGGGCUGUAGAUUACAGCACAGACACUUGAAAAUUGCAUGUUAUGUGCAGAUAAUAAGUAAUUUAAAAAAGAUAAUAAUUUAGACCAAUUAAGUGAAAUUGGAUAAUUUCUCAGGGUUCACUAACUAAGUCUGGUUGAAAAACACUGGUCUAGACCUGCUCUUUUUCUUUGGAGAGCAUCUUGGGGAAAAAACGACUGUUGUGAAUUGGCGCUAUAUAAAUAAAAUUUGAUUGAUUGAUUUGAAACAUUCACCAACCUUGAACCGACCUACAAAAUCUUAGAUUUCUCUGCUUGUACUGGUGUAAAAACACAGUUUUAGUGAAAUAUAUGACAAAUAUCUCAUGUUAAGAACAACUUUUUUUCAUGCAUUAGUGUUACACAAUUUGAGAACCAAGUCAGAAAAACUCAAUUUUACAAUCUUUUAUGAAAAGCUAAAGCUCAUUGUCGAGUAUGUCUAUAUAAGUGCAGCAUUUCAGCUUUAUUGUCAUGAUAUAUUUAUUUAUUUGAUAGACACAGUUGGGUUCACAAACGAACAGUAUAGCCUGAUAAAUAUUUCAGAUGAAAUUCUGUAACCUAGCAAACAAAAGUGUGAACUCCAACUGUACUUCCUCUCCUCCAAACUUCUUCAAAAGUUCUCCAAAAUCAAGAGAAUCCCAGAUAAAAACAACCCCACAAUGUCAUUGUCAGGCAGCUUUGCUUUUAAGGCAGUGACAUGUGCUCUCUGUGGGGACACCAGCAGUCUGGAUGAGCUGUGCACAAGUUGUCAGGCAUCCAGAUAAAUCUUCUCAGAGCUCCACGCUGCUUAGACCACCCAGGAGGAUCUGGCCCGGAGGUUCGUCAAGGACAGCCAGAGGCGGAUUCAGGACUGGCCCUCAGCCUUAUUUUUUUCCCAAAGUGGGCUGUCUUUUGCAGAUUCACUUCUACGUGUUUCCCCCUCUGUGUGAUGUUCGUGCCUGUGUGGUGGAGCUGUAAGUAGGGCAGAGAUUGUCUGUCAUGCGUUUUCUGCCUAUCUGGACUUGGUGUAAACAGAGCGGAAAGUGGAAGCGCAGCCUCGUGCGGACUUUGCUUCUCUGGUCGAUGAUGACAGAGGGGGGAAAGGAUUGGAUCCAGAGAGCACCUGGAGUUAAUGACAAAAAAUUUUACACUCAUACGCAACGUGAAGGGUCCUGCAGGAUCAGAGUCUGCCACAGACACUUAGAGGCUACAUUUGUCACAAGCAAAGAACGGGGAGAAAGCAGGCUGUGUCGCCUGUUAGAGAGUCCUUUGUGGCAGCAGUUUGUAUCAAUCAGACUGUCCUGACAGCAGCAUGAGGCAGGAAGAGAAACAGAUGCCGACUGUCCUCACUGCACAGAAAGUGCAUGUGAUGUCUGCAUGUGAUGUCUGCAGUUUGCUGUCGACACUCGCAUCAAGUAUUUUUUAAUGUGUUACCUGUAUGGGAACUAUUACAUACCUGGACUAUUUCAGUCUUGUCUUUAAUUUUACUUAAAACUCAGAGUACCUACUUUCCUGCUCUAAUGAUACACAUGUAAAUGGAGUAUGACCUGUAGUAGAACAGUGCAAAACAAUGGGAUAUGACACAAUACAACACAGUUCCAUACAAUGCUACAUGUUUUGACGCAACUUUACACUACACUAUGUUAUACUAUGCUACGCUACACUAUGCUUUGAUAAGAUACGCUACAAUACAUUACGCUAUGAUAUGUUACGCUAUGAUAUGUUACGCUAUGAUGUGUUACGCUAUGAUGUGUUACGCUAUGAUGUGUUACGCUAUUACGCUAUGAUGUGUUCCACUAUGUUACACCGCGAUAGGUUAAGCUUCGAUAGGUUAUGCUAUGAUACAUUACGCUAUGAUACGUUACACAAUGAUACGCUACGCUAUAUGUUACGCCACAAUAUGUUACGCCGCGAUGUCAUGCCACAAUAUGUUAUGCUACAAUAUGUUAUGCUACGAUAUGUUAUGCUACGUUAUGUUACACUAUGUUAUGUCACGCUAAGAUGCGUUACAUUUCGAUACGAUACGCUGAGAUACGUAAGGCUAUGAUACGUUUUGCUAUGAUACAAUAUCCCACGAUAUGUUAUGCUCCGAUACGUUAAGAUUUGAUAUGUCACGGUUGAUAUGUUACGAUUUGAUAUAAGCUAUGAUACAGUACCAUAAACAUUAUGUUACAAUACAAUACGUUGUGAUAAAAUAUAUGAUAAAUUACGAAACCAAAUGAUAUGGUAGGAUACGAUACCACAGGAUAUAACAGGGUACAACAUGAUUUAUAAUACAAUAAGAUACUGUACAAAACAAUUGAGUAUGACAUGGUACUAUAUGAUACAAUUUAACACAAUGUGGAACUUUACAGUUCAAUAUGAUGUAUAACAUAUUAUGCUAUAAUACACUUUGCUUUGAUAUGAUAUGAUACACGUUAUGAUGGGAUAAAUAGGGUGUGAUAAAAUUUUAAACAAUAAAAUUUGAUACUAUAUAAGACACAAUGUGAUAUAUAACCAUACAAUAAAAUAUGACAGUAUGACACAACUUGAUCUGAUUUGAUAAACUCUGCGGCUUCAGAGGAAAAACUGUAACAUCAUUUUUAUUCAAAGGCCGUUAUUAUAACUUACUUUAAGGCAAAAAACAACCCCAGUUUCUAACACAACAACAAAGGCAUGACUACAUCUGUAACAAUUUAUGUGUUCUUGUUCUUGGAACCUGCACUUUAAACUCAUAUUUUAUUCAUCUGACUAAGAAAGACACAAAACAAAAUGCAGAGUCUGGCACCGCUGAGCUGCUCUUCUCUGUUAUGUGGGAAAAAGCCGAACACGAUGAAGAGGACAGUCCUCCAGAAUGAUGAAUGCUGAAGCGCUGGCUCUGCUGCUUUUUCCAUUUAUCUUUCUUUGUUAAUCUUUUUUUGGUUCUGAUAUUCUCAUCCCUCUACUUCAAAUUCAUGUCGAGGACACACAAAGUAGGAGUUUUUUUUCUAUAUAGCACUUUGUAGAAUAAAAACCACACAGCUACUGCUAAAGAAACAGCUGACUGAAUCAGUAAUCAAUAUGACAACAUGCUGACUAUUUGCUUUUGAAAAAACUCAAAAGCUGACCUGCAAGCCAACUUCUCUUUUAGACGAGGUUUUACAAAUAGAAAUUCUCAACUUUCAGACUUUUCUCUACGCUCCCUGUUGCUACCAACGUUGAAUACAGCACAGAAUACACACUGUUUUCAACACUUAAGUGAUUUUUUUCCACACAUGGUCUUUGAUUACAUUCUGAAAUGAACCAAAACAGCUUUUUUGCAAUACUUCCCCUCAGGGAUCAGAAGCUGUUUUAACUGUAGACCAUUGCACCACAGUUAAUGUGAAACACUGCAGAUGCAGAAACUAAAGAUUAAAGUAAAUGAGGAGAGUAAUUAUCUUUGUGCAAGAAAAACCCUCCUGGAUGCUGUAUUUAAGUAUAACUCCAGCUGACUUAUGAACCAUAAGCUGAAGACUCCUCUAAGA
rnacentral:lncRNA from 1 species